rnacentral:rRNA from 1 species
AGUGAACGCUGGCGGUAGGCCUAACACAUGCAAGUCGAACGGCAGCACAGUAAGAGCUUGCUCUUACGGGUGGCGAGUGGCGGACGGGUGAGGAAUACAUCGGAAUCUACUUUUUCGUGGGGGAUAACGUAGGGAAACUUACGCUAAUACCGCAUACGACCUACGGGUGAAAGCAGGGGAUCUUCGGACCUUGCGCGAUUGAAUGAGCCGAUGUCGGAUUAGCUAGUUGGCGGGGUAAAGGCCCACCAAGGCGACGAUCCGUAGCUGGUCUGAGAGGAUGAUCAGCCACACUGGAACUGAGACACGGUCCAGACUCCUACGGGAGGCAGCAGUGGGGAAUAUUGGACUAUGGGCGCAAGCCUGAUCCAGCCAUACCGCGUGGGUGAAGAAGGCCUUCGGGUUGUAAAGCCCUUUUGUUGGGAAAGAAAAGCAGCAGGUUAAUACCCCGCUGUUCUGACGGUACCCAAAGAAUAAACACCGGCUAACUUCGU